GGGGACUCCAGCAGCAGCAUGUCCAGCAGAGGAGGCUGGACCUUCCAUGGAGCCUCCUGGACACCUUGGGAUGUGCAGAGGACAGACAGAAAUUUUUCCUUGCUAAAAAUGAAACCAAUCUGACUGGUGACAGAGAGAGUGAUCCCUCUAGACCCUGGUGUGUUUUGAUCACACAUUCAGGGUCAAAUCAAAGGCCAAUCAAGACUCGGAUGGUAAAGCUUUGUCCAAAGCAACAGUUGAUUUCAUUGAAUGUGAUAAAAAUUAGUUACUAUGGCAAAUGAUGUCUGAACAGGCCCUCUGGCAUUAGAUGAUGUGAAGCAAAGAUUCAUCCAUGCUUAUGCACCACAGCUUGAAGUUCACUGUGAGUUUUUCAACUGACCGAUAUGAAAUGCCAUCAUGUUCAUGUCUUCUGUCAU